rnacentral:rRNA from 1 species
UACGUAGGGUGCGAGCGUUGUCCGGAAUUAUUGGGCGUAAAGAGCUUGUAGGCGGUCUGUCGCGUCUGCUGUGAAAAUCCGGGGCUCAACCCCGGACUUGCAGUGGGUACGGGCAGACUAGAGUGUGGUAGGGGAGACUGGAAUUCCUGGUGUAGCGGUGAAAUGCGCAGAUAUCAGGAGGAACACCGAUGGCGAAGGCGGCGCUCUGGACCGAGACUGACGCUGAGGCGCGAAAGCGUGGGGAGCAAACAGG